CUGUUUGUUACGUAUGCUGUAUGCAUUAGUGUAGAUGCACUUCAGCUGGGCCAUUGCCUGUUCCUCUGGCCCUGACAUUGUUCUCCCUGGCACACCUCUAACAAGCCUUAUUCCCUCCCCAUCCCCUUUCCUACCUAGUUUAAAGCCCCCUCAUUGAGCACUGCCAGCUCCUGUGCUAGUGUCUGUUUUCCCCUUUGAGACAGGUGGGACCCACCUGCAGUUAGUGGGCCAGGUGCCCACUAAAGCGCCCCGUGGUCAAAAUAAAUAAAUAAAUAAAAUUCUGUGUUGGCACUAGCCUCUGAGCCACCUGUUUAUCAGGUGGGCUUUCCGUGUCCUCUCUGUACUCCUCCCUGCUAUUGUAGGGAUGGAGGAAAGCGUGACCUGUACUCCUGUUCCAACUACUAAUUGUCCCAGUCCCCUAAAGUCCUGUUUGAUAGCCUUCAAGCUUCACUCUUCAAUAUCAUCUCUGCCAUCCUGGACUAUCAAAAGCGGAUAGUAGUCAGAGGGGUGAACCAGGUUGGGAAGCUGAAACAAAACACACAAAGUUCCUCUAAUUACAAUCCAACAGCAUUGAACUGAUGGGCUCUGAAAUGUUAAACCGUGUAUGACCACACACUGGAAAAGCUCUGAAAAGCAAAACCAAUUUUCCUGCUCCUGGCCAUUGUCAAUGACUGAUUUUCAAUACAGCACAGCAAGGGAGCUGCUCUGCCACAAAGCCCUAAUGAACAAUCAGGUUGUCUAUGUGUAAUUAAGUACGAUGUUCCUUGUGACAUGAAGUGAGCAUCCUUACAUCCUCAACAAUCCCUACUGAUUACUUGAUAUAGCUAAUAUCAGAGAUAAUGCUGGAUUACAAUCAUCCUUAUUUUCCUAAGAAUGGAAGCAGCUGAGAGGGAAGUACCCUCAGUACCCUUGAUAGGGAAUCUUCUUCCAUAAACAAAUAACUGAAAGCUGUGUCCUCCAGCUUUUCUACCAAUUAUUAUCACUCUUCUGCAAGAGGUUACCAGGCCCACAAGAGGGUCAGUAGAGUGGGACUUGGGAACUCUCUUCAACUAUUUCAAUUUAGUGUAAACCCACCUUCACUAGAGUGACCUACAAUGUUGGUACUGAGUCAGUCAUGGGAACCUAUUAUCUAAUAGGUGUAAGGGUAUAGAAUGCACACCAAGGUAUUUUAAGUAAUG
rnacentral:lncRNA from 1 species